rnacentral:SRP_RNA from 1 species
CGUACUAUUCGGGGAGAUAGCGGUGCCCUGCACCCGCAAUCCGCUAUAGCGGGGGAGAAUUCCCGGCUGAGGGCUCCUGUUGUGUGGUCUGCCCGCCAGGUGAAGGUGAUGAGAGACAGGUCUUGCGCAAUGUUCCUCCGUGAACCAUGUCAGGCGGGGAACCGAGCAGCAUUAAGCGGACCCGAGCAUGUGCCGCGAGAGUGCCUGUUUUGAGUCUUCCCUGACGGUACCGCGCAUAACAGUGUGUUCGACGCUGGGUGUGCG